GCAUAAUCAAUAGGUUUUUAAUUGGAAGCUGGAAUGAAGGGUAGUUACUAAUAAGAGAGUUUUAUUAAAAAAUUUUGAACUUAAAUUAGAAGUAAAAAUGCUUUUAUUAUUUUCUAGGACGAGAAGACCCUAGAAGCUUAUAAAAUAUAAAUUUUUAGAUUGGGGCAAUUGAUGAAGGAAAAAAUUUUUAGAAUUCAUUUAAUAAAUUGAUUUAGGUUAAUAAAAGUUACUCUAGGGAUAACAGCGUUAUUUAAUUAACAAGUUCUUAUUAAUAAUUAAGUUUGCGACCUCGAUGUUGAAUUAAUA
rnacentral:rRNA from 1 species